UGGGGAAUAUUGGACAAUGGGCGAAAGCCUGAUCCAGCCAUGCCGCGUGUGUGAAGAAGGUCUUCGGAUUGUAAAGCACUUUAAGUUGGGAGGAAGGGCAGUAAGUUAAUACCUUGCUGUUUUGACGUUACCGACAGAAUAAGCAUCGGCUAACUCUGUGCCAGCAGCCGCGGUAAUACAGAGGGUGCAAGCGUUAAUCGGAAUUACUGGGCGUAAAGCGCGCGUAGGUGGUUUGUUAAGUUGGAUGUGAAAGCCCCGGGCUCAACCUGGGAACUGCAUCCAAAACUGGCAAGCUAGAGUACGGUAGAGGGUGGUGGAAUUUCCUGUGUAGCGGUGAAAUGCGUAGAUAUAGGAAGGAACACCAGUGGCGAAGGCGACCACCUGGACUGAUACUGACACUGAGGUGCGAAAGCGUGGGGAGCAAACAG
rnacentral:rRNA from 1 species